GCUCUCACAAAGAAGAAGAAUACAGAAAGGAAGAAGGGAAGAAGGGGAUUGGUAUCCAUACUGCACAGCACGGUGGCUCCUUCAUGCUUCCUUCUGGGGUGGGCGCCAUGCUCUUUUCCCUGCAUCUGAAAAGAAGCCUCUUCCCUACUUCCAGGCCAGAAUCUUCAGGGACCUCCUGGAUGUCGGGCCUUCUGGAUGCCAGGGUCAGGUGGAGUUGGAGCUUUGGACCUCGGCAGGGGAGGAGUUUCCUCUGCAAGCCCAAGGGAGGACGGAAAGGCUCCGAGACACGCUCCAUGUUGGGCAAGAAGCAAACAGGGUUCAGCUCCAGGAAGACACCGCCACACUGGAGAAUAUGCCCUGGAAACUGCGUCUCUCCCACUCGAGUCUGUGAACGAGCCCCUCUUGGGGUGGCCAUCUGA
rnacentral:lncRNA from 1 species